rnacentral:lncRNA from 1 species
AUGACUCAGAUUCGGCAUAUCUCCACAAGUACCAUCCAACCAACAAUUGAGAAUGAUCACUUAGCUCGUAGAAUUCAGUUAACUCCAUGUGAUCUGCAGCUCAUCCGAAUCUAUUACAACCAAAAGGGACUUCUUUUCCACAAACCAGCAGAUCAAGAACAGAGCAACAACUUGGUACAACACCUAAAAGCCUCCCUUUCCCGCACCUUGAACAUCUUCUACCCACUUGCUGGCCGCCUAGCCCCGAUCGAAAAUGAAGAUAACAACACCACAUGUUUUUUCAUCAACUGUAAUGGCGCCGGAGCCCAGUUUGUCCACGCAACUGCUGACUGUGUCAAAGUGGCCGAUAUCCUUGACCCUCUUUGCAUUCCUGAUGAAAUUGUGUACCACCUCUUUCCCUUGAAUGCAGUUCGGAACUAUGAAGGCAUUUCGAAACCAUUGCUUGCGGCGCAAGUAACUCAACUGGUUGAUGGCAUCUUUAUCGGUUGCAGCAUAAACCACGCGGUUGUGGAUGGUACUUCUUUCUGGCAUUUCUUCAAUACUUGGUCUGAAAUCUCUCGUGCUGGCUCUAAUAACAUUUCUCAACCUCCUCCCUUUUUUGGUCGCCAAUUUUUUGACAGCGUAAUUGAUCUCCCGGUUCAGUUACCCUUCUCCUAUGGUGAAAUUACAAGGAAGCAUGUUAGGAGGUCUUCAGAGUCAUUGCAAAGGGUACUCUUUCAUUUUUCAAAACAAAAGGUAGCAGAGCUCAAAUCCAAGGCCAAUGCUGAGAUUGGCAUCAAUAACAUCUCAUCCCUCCAAGCCCUCAUGGCUCAUCUAUGGCGGGCUGCAACCCGUAGUAGACAUCUCAACCCUGAUCAAGAGGUUAUUUAUCGGGUUAUGGUGGGAUUGAGGCAAAGAUUGAAGCCACCAUUGCCAGAAGAAUACCUCGGGAAUGCGGUUAAAGCGGUUCUUGUCAAGUCCACUGCUGGAGAGCUUCUACAUCAUGGACUAGGCUGGGCGGCUUUACAAAUAAACGAACAGAUUGCUUCCCUAACAGCUGACGAAGCGAGGAAGUCCUUGGACGAAUGGGUGAAAACCCCAAUAUUUGUUUCAAAUAUAAGUAAUAUUUCAACAAGUUCUGCAUUGCUUACAGGAAGCUCGCCGCGGUUUAACGUAUUUGGGAAUGAUUUUGGGUGGGGGAGGCCACUUGCUGUGCGAAGCGGAGCGGCAGACAAAACAAAUGGGAGGCUAACAGUGUUUCCUGGGGCUGAAGAAGGAAGUAUUGAUGUUGAAGCUUGCCUUUUUCCAGAGGCUCUACAAGCUAUGAAGGACGACAAAGAGUUUAUGGAGGUCGUGCUACAUCAGGGCUGGUCUAUUGAUUUUGAAGGCCCG